rnacentral:rRNA from 1 species
UGAGCGAGGCCACCCGCAAGGGUGAGUCGAGCGGCGAACGGGUGAGUAACGCGUGGAUGACCUGCCCUUUAGUGGGGAAUAACCCGGGGAAACUCGGGCUAAUACCGCAUAAGACCGCGAGGUGAAAGCGGGGUCGCAAGAUCUCGUGCUAAAGGAGGGGUCCGCGUUCGAUUAGCUAGUUGGUAGGGUAAUGGCCUACCAAGGCGACGAUCGAUAGCCGGCCUGAGAGGGUGAUCGGCCACACUGGAACUGAGACACGGUCCAGACUCCUACGGGAGGCAGCAGUGGGGAAUUUUGCGCAAUGGGCUAACGCCUGACGCAGCAACGCCGCGUGGAGGAUGAAGGUCUUUGGAUUGUAAACUCCUGUCAGCAGGGAAAAAGGGAGUGGGCCUAAUACGUCCACAACUUGAUUGUACCUGCAGAGGAAGCCCCGGCUAACUCUGUGCCAGCAGCCGCGGUAAUACAGAGGGGGCAAGCGUUAUUCGGAAUUAUUGGGCGUAAAGGGCGCGUAGGCGGCUUUUCAAGUGACGGGUGAAAUCCCUCGGCUUAACCGAGGAACUGCCUGUCAGACUGGAAGGCUUGAGACCGGGAGAGGUGAGUGGAAUUCCCAGUGUAGCGGUGAAAUGCGUAGAUAUUGGGAGGAACACCAGUGGCGAAGGCGGCUCACUGGACCGGAACUGAC